rnacentral:rRNA from 1 species
UCCUACGGGAGGCAGCAGUGGGGAAUAUUGCACAAUGGGCGCAAGCCUGAUGCAGCCAUGCCGCGUGUAUGAAGAAGGCCUUCGGGUUGUAAAGUACUUUCAGCGAGGAGGAAGGUGUUGUGGUUAAUAACCGCAGCAAUUGACGUUACUCGCAGAAGAAGCACCGGCUAACUACGUGCCAGCAGCCGGGUAA